rnacentral:rRNA from 1 species
CAGUCGUACCGGCGGAUAAUCAGCCUUUCGGGUGCGAUUCUGUGGGGCGUGAGGAGCUUAACCGCCUUCAUGUUUUGCAUAUCCGUGCACAUUUGGUGUACUUGUCCGUGUGGUGGGUUAACAUCAAUUUUGGUGGUCAUAAAAUGACUGGAGGAAUGUAGCUUCGAUCUUGUAUUGAAGUGUUAUAGCCUUCGGUAGAUGUGAUGAUCGGGAUUGAGGAUUGCAACGGAUACCCUUCGGGGCUACCUGUCUGGUCUCUGAUCGUUGCUCUGGUGCCGAAAGCUUGCUUACGGUUAUCAAAGUCGAUGGUCAAUAGGUUAGAACGGGUUAAAUUCGUUAAGGAUGUUGACGUAAUGGCUUUAAACGACCCGUCUUGAAACACGGUACCAAGGAGUACUAACAUGUAUGCGAGUGUUU